UGGGGAUAAUGAGUGCCUGUUGUGCAAAUCU
rnacentral:piRNA from 1 species